ACCUUCGUAGCUCAGUUGGUAGAGCAUUGCACUGUGAGAAUUUCCUCGUAUGAAACGCUGUGAUGCGAACAUCGCUGGUUCAACUCCAGCUCAAAGCA